rnacentral:lncRNA from 1 species
GCUAAAACACUGCUCAUAAACAAACAAACACUGGCUGAAAGAGACACAAGAACAAACAAGACUGACUCGGCAGGAUAUCGCAUCCUGGGCCUACUUAGCCUAUCAAGCAUAGACAUCAGAGUCGAAGUAGUUCGGACUGGGGAAAACAUGCUUGCUAGGAUGUCGCAUCCUAUGCAUACGUAUCUUCUCGGACUAAGAAGAAUCAGAGCAUCCGUAGCUCGGCUCACGCACACAAAACAAAACAAACACAGGAAAUCGACUGCCAAUCGCUGGGCUU